GGUUCAAGUCCCUCUAUCCCCAAAAAGACCAUUUGACUCCCUAAUUAUUUCUCGUAUCCUUU
rnacentral:tRNA from 34 species